CUCACCUAAAUCUCCCUUGCUGCAGAUUAAGCCCAUUACUUGUCCUACCUUCAGUGGACAUGGAGAAUAAUUGAUUACUACCAUUCUCUUUCUAUCAGCCAUGAACAUACCUGCAGACUGUGAUCAGGUCGCCCUCAGUCGUCUUUCCUCAAGACUAAAGGUGCCCAGUUUUUUAACCUUUCCUCAUAGGUCAGGUUUUCUAAACCUUUCAUCAUUUUCAUAGCUCUCCUCUGGACUCUCCCUAAUUUUCUUAAAAACAGGGUGCUCAGAACUGGACCCAGGACUCCAGCUGAGGCCUCACCAGAGCCGAGUAGAGCCGGACAAUCACUUUCCGUGUCUUACAUCUGACACAUGUGUUGCUGCAGCUCAGACUGAUACUAACCUUUUUCACAGCUGCAUCACAUUGCUGACUCAUGUUCAGUUUGCACUUCUCUGUAAGCCCUAGAUCCUUUUCAGCAGGACGACGGCCCAGCCAGUUAUUCCCCACUUUGUAGUUGGUCUCGCUCUCUUGAGAAGAGAGUCAGCGUUCCCUUGGUGUUGGACAGCUGAGAAAUGACUCGUCCUUCCUGGUAUUGCCGAUGUCUGGUGAAGUGUUCUAUGUAGAUGUCCCUUGACCACCUGAUGGUGUCCGACACCAUGAAUUGCCGCAUCAGCCGAGUGUAGCGCUGACCCCUUCUGCGUUCACUGAAUACUAGCUUGUUACUGGGGUCCCAUGUGCCUAAGGCUCCGACGAUCAGUGCGUGUGUCUGGACCUGGAACCCUUAGCUCUCAAGGUGUUGGCCAGAAGGGCGUAUUUCUCUACCUUUCGAAACUGGGCAUCGUGGAAAGCACUGUGACUUCCACCAUGACGAUCUUCCACUCCUCGGCAGUGGUGGUGGUGAUGUCUGGUCGCAGUUGGCUGUCGGCAGGGGCGGCUCCAGGCAUCAGCACGCCAAGUGCGUGCCUGGGGCAGCAAGCCCCGGGGGGGUGCUCUGCUGGUCGCCAGGAGGGCAGCAGGCAGGUUGUUUUCGGUGGCACGCCUGGGGAGGAUCCGCUGGUCCCGUGACUUCGACGGACCUCCCGCAGGCGUGCCCCCGAAUCCGCAGGAUGGGGAACCUCCUGCAGGCAAGCCUCCGAAGGCAGCCUGCCUGCUGUGCUUGGGGUUGCAAAGUACCUAGAGCCGCCCCUAGCUGUCGGUUCUGGGGAUGGAGGAGUUCACGGGCCCCCCCGGGUGGCAGGACAGCUCUGGCCAGGCGGUCUUGGAUGGUGGCGUUUCGCAGCUGCCAAGCUCUCGCAUGGGGCUUGCAGCUACCCAGGACGUGGGGUAGCAUCUUGUUGGCGUAGCCACACUUCCUGCAUCGCUUGUCCCGAUUCCCAUGGCGGACGGCUCUGUUCAGCGGGACGCAGUGCUACUGCGGCUCCAGCCCUGGCUGCCUUUCUGGAAGAGAUACUUUAACCAAACACACGGGAUUGGGCUCAGGGCAGGGUGCCUAUGUUAGAAGUGGGUCCUACUGAGGGAGACCUACUGGCUCCUCCUGGCCUUAACCUCUAUUAGCAUUAGGCCUGGGGGUACUUAUCCUAGGAGGUCUGCUUCAGAUUCAAAUGCAAAUGGGAUCUCAGGUUUAGGCAGAGGAGCAAUCCCCUUAUCUGCAUCCCCUCCGGCUGGCCCUGGGGGAGGGGAGGUGGUCCAGACCGUACAGGAGGGGCUAUCUUUACACUGGGCCAUUAGAAAUCAGCCCUGGGCUCUCUCUGAGCUCUCCGAACAGCUGGGAGUUGGUGAAUAAUGGCAGGGGAGUCCCCCUCUUGCCUUUAUCUUGAGCCAAUGGUCAGGCAGGAGUGUAGCAAUAGUGGAAAACUCUCCGCUUCCCAGGGGAAAAACCCUCCCGCCUCCGCUAGAUGUACAUCACAGCGGCCUUCCCGAGGGGACUGGGAUCUACAUGCCUGGGCAGCAGCCUGGCCCUGAUAUUAUCUCCCUCUUGAUCAUCCCCUGGUUCUUGCUCUGGGUCGUCCCACCCUGCUGACUUUUUUGGCCUGCAAUAGUUUAAUUGCCUGCAGCCGCAGCCCCAUUGGUUUAUCGCUGCGCUGAGGCCUGAAGCGGCCGAGGCCGAGCUGCUGCUGAGGAGCCUACUCACGCCGGUGUCCAAGGGGGAGCAGAAAUCGCUGGGGAGGCCUGUUUGCUGCCCAGCCUAACUGUGCAGUGCCCAGAGAGUCCAAAGCCCCUCUGCUUGGUGGGGCUGUAGAUAACGUGUCAAGCCUUUGCAGCAGUGGGUUCCAGCAGUGGGUUGGGGGAUGAGAUGUAGUGAAAGGUAAGGAUAGUCCUUGCUUUGAGUAGUUAAUCAUCUGAAAGUCUCCUAACCUGUGUUCCCCGCCCCUUUGUGCCUCAGUUUCCCCAUCUAUAAAAAUAGGGCUAAUGAUCCUGACUCUGCUUUUGUGAUGUGCUUUGGGAUGGUGGGGGGCAGCCCAGGAGCUAGGCAUUGUGAUUAAACUGCUGUGGUGCCCACCCACCCAACAUUUGGUGUUUCAUGUAAAGGGCUCGGUCCUUGAAAAUGAGAGACCAUGGGAGAGCCUCACCUUUCAUAAAAAAAAAAAAAAAAAAAAAAAAAGUCAAAAGUCCAGAUGCUCACAGGUUCUUCAUGUCUGGGCCCAAGUCCUUUUGCAGACUGUGGUUGGUGAUGUUGAUUGAUUAUUUAGGGUUUGAGCCAAGCAGCAGAAUAGGACAUCGUUCCAGAUCAGCCUGCCAGUCCCCUGAAGGCUGUUUUCAACCCCCGACAGUUUGAUCCAGCCAUUAAGCAUGUUGCAGGGGACGGCUUUUUGUCCUUAGCGGGUGAUUUUUUUAGGUGCAGUCAUUCUGCUGUCAGGAGGUGGGGUGGGGGGCAGAGGCCAGGUCACUUGCCAUACCUGCACUCAAUGAAGGUGCCUCUGGGACUGGUUUGGGAAGCAGACCCCUUAGGGGGCACAGACCAGCUUGUCCUGUUAUGUUUUGAUGGCUUCUGAUUCAGCUCUCGAGUCGCUGGAUUGGCUGGCUCUGAUUGCACUGAGUAGAGAUUUGGGGCACGCCUUAUGUGACACUGUAUGGAAUCUGAGGGACACUUUAGGAUAUUAUGAAUACCAAUAUUGUGAAAUUGCAGUGAGAUAUGCCAUGUAAGAUAUCUGCAGAAAUGUUAUCUGCCAGAUAUGACGAUCUCAUUUGUGUUUGUAUCACCUUUGUACUGUGGAUUAUACCUGUAUUUCAAAA